rnacentral:misc_RNA from 1 species
AUCCUUCAGGAACCUUCUUCCCACAGGAGUUGAGCAACAAGCUAAGGUCAAUGGGAAGAUUAAUGUUAAUGCCCAAGACACUAGCUUUGAUGGUAGUGCAAAGGCAAACAGCGGCUUCCAAAUCAACAAGAUCAGUCAGAAGGCUGCAGCAAGGGGUCGUUGGUGGGCUACCAAUUGUAAUGCCCAACAAACCCUUCAACAGGUCCACACAUACACCAAGCUUUAAUGUGUCCCUAGGGCAAGCACCGUUUGAUGGUGUAGGCGAUGGGUUGCUUGGUUUAGGUGAUGGGUUGCUUGGUUUAGGUGAAGGGAGUUUUGGCUUUGGCGAUGGG